GCUUGGCACUGAGUUUUUUAAAAAGUCUGUUAUAAUAGUCUGUUCUCUUGAGAGCAUAUUUUCUAGAUUCCUGCAUCUGACUCCCUGGGUGUGACUGUGAAGUUUUAUGUAAUAGAUACCCAGGCCAGAAAAGGAAGCACUUGGUUCACUCCUAUCCAUGGGGAUGGCGGUUGGUGGGAAGGGAACUAGGAGGGAGGGGAGCCAGACAAGCACAUCUGGCCUGCUGGGCCCUCCCUGGAGAAGGUCCACGUUCCUGACCUCCCUUGGAACUGUGAAAAGAAAGCAGUAGAUUCCCAGCUGCUCCAAGCCACCCUGGCCUCUGCCUGUGACCACGGCGCUCCAGAGCAGGGCAGGGGAGCCUCGGAAACGGCUUUCACAAGCGAGCUUCGACUCCCACGAGGCCCGACUGCCGAGCUGUGGACACAGCAGUCCAUCAAAGGAACUCCACAGGCAACAAAGGAUCUGGGUUCAGUGGGGUUUCAACCAUCCCAGGAGGGACUGGACCAUGGGUUAUGUAAACUCAGCUCCAGUAUAUCUGUGGUCAGGGGUGAGAACAGUUCUGGAAACCAGCAGUCACCAUACCCCGAAGUCCCAGCUCUUUCUUCUCGCCAGCGGUCACUCAGCUGUUCCUGUCUGUCCACACAUCCUAACGCCAUCUCAGUGAGAAAAGCUGCGGAGUAAGAGAGUUAAGAUCGCUUCGUGGGACAGGCUAAGUUGUCAGAUGAAGUGUGAAUUAAAUUUUCCAGCCCUGUUGCAUCCUCCCCACUGAAUGAAAUGAAGGAUCUCCCGCUGGUCUGUCCAAGUGAAAACAAUGACCUCAAUAGAGGGUAAGUCCUGGCCUUCUGGACGCCAGACUACCUCCUCCCUGAGGGAGGAACGCGGACGGCAGCAGGAAAGGACAUGGUCACCCUUCACCCUGAAAACUCACACACCAGAGUCCAUCCCCCUAAGGUGAUCUGUGCAGAUUUCGUUGUUUUGUUUUUGAAACGCGGGACGGGGAUUUCAUUCUCCUUCCAAGACCCCUUUCUUCCUGGACGCGUAGCAUCCCUCCUUCUUCUGGCCCCUUCCUGCCUGAGCAACUGAGCAGAGCUCUCUCUUCUCAAGCCCUAGCCAUUGCGUCUUGUGAGGAGGGCAAUGCUGCCCCCUGCUGGCUCCAGGAUGAGAAACAGCCCUCAGGGGCAACCAGGUUCCGUCUGUUUCCCUGUAGGUAGGAUCUGAACGAGCCUUGUUCCCUUUUCCAAAACAGCUUCUGGCCUGUCUGGACUUGGUUAUCUGGAUAGAAGGCUGGAGAAUCGUCAUCCCUUUUCCCAACCGUUGGGAACUUUAUUUGACCUUCAAUGUUGUUUUCAUCCGCAUGACUACAGAGUCUGUGCAGGUUACAUCUAGUUUUGCUCCCUAUCUGACCAGAAAGUACUUCGAGAAGCCACUGUCCAUGCCAACUGUAAGCAGAAGGGGCAGAUGCAUAUCUCAGAAGAAUAUUUGUGGUGGAGCAAAUAUUCCUCAGAAUUGAAACAUCCCUUCCGGGAGGGAUGUAAGACCCAAGAAAUGAACAAAACUGAGCUGUCUCGGGAAGCCUCUGGGACGCAUAAGCCUCCCAAGGCCCUGUCCAUAGCCCAAGGAGUACGACUGCUCAAGCGUAGUCACAAUUGCUGAGGGGAGGGGCCGGACUCACUGACUUCCUGCCCUUUCCCAGAGAGCCCCAGGGCAAUAGCCCAUUGUCAGUCAGGCUGAGGUGGGUGUGGGACGUAAAACCACUCCAGAAAGUUUGGGAAGAUAAAGCAAGUCUAGAGUCUGAGAUUCAGGUGACUCCAGCUCCCUGCUAGACUCCUGACUUGAAACAUGUGCCAUGCUUCUCACAUAAAAGAAACAUGUCCUACGGUCAUGUAGGCCCCAAACAGACUUCUCCAUUCUAAUGAGGUACCUAGAGGCCCAGAGGGCUCAGCCAAUGAGCUUUCCCUUCCCAGACAUCCCUUCUGGCAAAAGGCAUUUAAUCUCGGGCCCACCCUGAGAAGUGGGUACGGUUUACACACUCAUUUUCCACCAUGACAAUAAACUGUUUAGAACCAUGGACUGACUCUUUUCAUCAAGAUCUGCCUGUUGUGGGGUGCCAUGAAGAAGGCCUUCGCCUACAGAGCCACAGCCUAGUCUCCUGGAGAAGGCCUCUCUGGGCUCCCAGCCACAACUGCCACCAAGCUUGCUGCCAGGCUAAGGACAAUCAUCCCCAUGGGACAAGUUGGAGCUCCCCUCCCUCACCCACCCUCCACUACGGGCUGGACACCUCUCUUCUGCAACUCCCAGGGCGCCUGGAUGUCUAAGAGCCUGAGAACCCCUCUACCUCUGCCUUGUCUCAGGCCCAGGGACCCCUGAACCAGCUCCAGCUUUCUCACAUCUCAGACUGCGCUUUCCCACCCUGGAGCGAUGCCUCCCUACAGCCCAGCACCUGCCCUGGCAUGGGGUAAGCACAGUCAAACUCUCUGAGUUCUGCCCUGUGGCAGAGUGGACAAGGGCCUACGACCCUACUGUACAGUUAGUUUGCCUCUGAGCCAUCCACAGUAGUGAUGGUUUGUAUAUUCUUGGGCCAGGGAGCGGCCUUGUACGAAUAGGUGUGACUUGGCUGGAAUAGGUGUGUCACUGUGGGUGUGGGCUUAAUAGCCUCACCCUAGUUGCCUGAAAGUCAGUCUUCCACUAGCAGCCUUUGGAUGAAGACAUAGAACUCUCAGCUUUGCCUGUGCCAUACCUGCCUGGAUACUGCCAUGCUCCCACCUUGAUGAUAAUGGACUGAACCUCUGAACCUGUAAGCCAGCCCCAAUUAAAUGUUGUUUUUUAUAAGACUUGCCUUGGUCAUGGUGUCUGUUCACAGCAGUAAAACCCUAACUAAGACAACAGUGCCACAAGGAACCCAGAUACACCCACUGGUUUGCCAGUGGACUUUGGACUUUGAUGGGAUUGUUUGGUCUGUUAGUGCCCAGAGGGGUAGCAGACCAAAUUUUAUCUCCCCUGGGGAAAAAAAAAUCACACAAUGUUUUGGUCCUAAACGUUGUUAGAAAAAUGGAAUGGAUUGCCUUAAAGAUAAAGCAAGUGGGCUGGAAAAAAAAUAAAGCAGGAGUUAUGAGCAUUGCCUGCUCUUCUAGAGGUCUAGAGUUCAAUUCCCAGCAACCACAUGAUGGCUCACAACCAUCUUUAAUAAGCUCCAAUGUCCUCUUCUAUCAUGCAGGCAUACAUGCAGAUAGACCACCCAUAUAUAGAAAAUAAAUAAAACAUUCAAGAAAGUCUUUAUGGAGCAGAGCUUGCAAAUCAGAGUUGAGCUUUUACACCGGAGUCCUUCUACACAGUGGACAAAGGAAUCUGUCAGGGGUUUGUGCUUGCUCGUAGUCCCCUUCUGUCACUGUGACAAAUACCGGAGAAAAACUCAGCCCAAGGAAGGAAAUGGCUCACAGUCGAAGGUUGUUGACUGGCUAGCUGGUUUGCACUGCCCUCUGUAGAUGGCAAGAUGGGAGUGUGUGGCAGAGGACGGUGCUCAGCUCAUGGUGGCUGGGAAACGGGGAAAGGGUAAAGUCCAGAAGGACACACCACCAAUAACACACUUCCUCAGCUGCCUCUCACCUUCCAACACCUC